ensembl:lncRNA
GACUAAACCAGCUGCCGUAGUCAGCUGCACUGUGCAUUAUGGGAUGAGGAAGUGACAGUUUGCACUUUAGCAUGGCAGCUCGUGGACAAACUUGGAGUAGUGAGGAGGUGCGGAGCCUCAUAGAAAUUUGGUCUGAUGACCAUAUUAGGUCCCAACUUUCGAAAACUCACAAGAACAGCGUGAUCUUCUCAUUGUUUAGCAAACAACUCAGGGAAAGGGGGAUUGAUAGAUAUGUGGAACAUUGCCGGGUUAAGGCAAAGAAGCUCCGCCAGCAGUACAUCCAAGUUCGGGAUGCACUUAAUAAAACAGGCAGCUCGGUGGGAGAUUCAAGCAACAUAUCCUCUGAUGCAGAUGUCACAAACACCGUUGCUGAUGCAGGAGUGUCUGAAGAUCCAGGUACAAUGAGCAGUGCCAAUGAAGAAGCCAUCAUAGGAGGGAGACUACCCAUUCCUGGAGCCAAAGCUCGAAAAAGAAAGCUAAAGUCUUGCAAAGCUGAUGUUGACAUCCAGGCAUACAUGAUGGACAACAGAAUGAUGCUGACAGAAUUGCAUAGAGCUGAACAGAGCCAAGUGGCUCAAGAGGCUGCCUGUUUUGAGAGAAUAUUGAAGGCACAACAGGAGGCUGAGGAGAGAAGAUUCCAGAUGAUGCAGGCACAGCAACAGGCCACUAACCAGAUGUUUCUGCAACUAAUGGGCACUCUAGCAAGUGCACUGAAUCCUGGUCAGCCCCCACCUCAUUCCACAACAGUGCCAGCCUGGACCACGACACCCCCACCAACAUCAAUCCCUAGUGCUUGGUCCUUGCCCCACCUGUUUCAGCCAACUGCCCUGCUGCCAAUGAAUAAUCCACAUCACCACCGGCAAUCAGAAUCUCCAUCCAACCAAGAUGAACAUCCUAGCACUUCAUCCAUUAUACAUGAUAUUAAUAGUACACACUACUACAACAUGUAGUUUUUUUGUUUGUUUUUGCAAUCUAGGAAAGGCUUUGUUUGUGUAGGCCUUUAAUGUGCAGUCAUUUUGCUCUUUGAAUUGUUCUGUUUAGUGUUCUGAAGAAUAUACUUCAGCAGAAAUGACUACCCUGUGUGUGUUUACAUUUCCCAGAAAUAUGCUACCUCAUUUUCAUUAUUAGUAUUUUAUUUUUUUUUUUACUUUUGGAAUACACAAGGAUAUAUAAUAUAAAGUAAAAAGAGGACUUUUUUGGCACAACACACAGCCAUUUUUAAUAAAUGGCUUAAAUGUUUAACUGUAAAUCA